AUGUCGUCUCCCGCCGGCGGGUACGGCGGCGCCGAGGCCCACCACCACCAGCAGCACCACGGCCACAUGCUGCUUCAUAACCAUGCACACCACAUGGCGACCGCGGCCGCCGCGGCGUCGGGCGGGCAGCUCUACCACGUGCCGCAGCACAGCCGGCGCGAGAAGCUCCGGUUCCCGCCGGACGCCGCCGCGGAGGACUCGCCACCGACCCCUCUCGCCCACCACCACCAGCAGCAGCACCAGCAGCACCAGGCCGGGGCGUGGCCGCCCCCGGCCUUCUACUCCUACGCGUCCUCCUCCUCCUCCUACUCGCCGCACAGCCCGACGGUGCCGCAGGGCCAGCAGCUGGUGCUCAACGGGCUCACCGCCCAGCAGGUCACCGCGCAGCAGUUCCCGCAGAUCCCCACGCAGAACUUCUCGCUCUCCCUCUCCUCCGCCUCGUCCAACCCCGCCACCACGCCCCCGGCGCCCAGGAAGCAGGAGCCAGGAGCCGCCGCGCCGGCCGCGUGGCCGUACGGGCCCUUCACCGGCUACGCCACGGUGCUCGGGCGAUCCAGGUUCCUCGGCCCGGCGCAGAAGCUGCUCGAGGAGAUCUGCGACGUGGGGGGCGCGGCCGCGCACGCCGACACCAGCGUCCCGGACGAGGGCCCGCUCGACGCGGACGCCAUGGACGGCGCCGACGACGCGGCCGGCCACGAGCUGGACACCUCCGGCCCCAUGUCCGGCGCCGAGCAGCAGUGGAAGAAGACGAGGCUCAUCUCCAUGAUGGAAGAGGUGUGCAAGAGGUACCGGCAGUACUACCAGCAGGUCCAGGCCGUGAUCGCGUCGUUCGAGAGCGUGGCUGGGUUCAGCAACGCCGCCCCGUUCACGGCGCUGGCGCUGAGGGUGAUGGCCAGGCACUUCAGGUGCAUCAAGGGCAUGAUACUCAGCCAGCUGCGCAACACCAGCAAGAUGCCGGUCAAGGAAGGCAUGAGCAAGGACAUCACCAUCUUCGGCCUCGGCGGCGGCGGCGGCGCCCCCGUCGGCGGCUUCCAGAGGGGUGGCAGCGUGAACGGCUUCGGCCAGCCGCACAACAUCUGGCGCCCCCAGAGGGGCCUCCCCGAGCGCUCCGUCACGGUCCUCCGGGCUUGGCUCUUCGAGCACUUCCUGCACCCGUAUCCUACCGAUGGCGACAAGCAAAUGCUGGCCAAGCAGACUGGCCUAACAAGGAAUCAGGUGUCGAACUGGUUCAUCAACGCGAGGGUGCGGCUCUGGAAGCCAAUGGUGGAGGAGAUCCACAACCUGGAGAUGAGGCAGGUCCACAAGCACUCGCCGCACGACAAGGGCCAGCAGAACGGCGUCCACGGCCAGGCUCACCAACACUCGUCGCAGCAGCAGCAGCAGCAGCGCAGCGGCAAGCGCUCCGAGCCCUGCGACUCGCACCCCGGCCAGAGCAGCGGCGUCACCAGGAACCACCACCACCACAACGCCGCCGCCGCCGCCUCCUCCCACGGUGGUGGCUUCCCGGACGACCUCUCCCAGAUGUCCCACUCCAUGCAGCAGGGCCAGGUGACCUUCGCCGGGUACGGCGCGCUGCCCUCCCAGCAGCAGCACGGCAGCAUGGCGUCGCCGCAGCACCACCACCACCAUCACGUCGGCGUCGGCGUCGGCGGGGCGGUGAAUGCUGGCGGCGGUGGCGGCGUGUCGCUCACCCUCGGCCUCCACCAGAACAACAGGGUCUGCUUCGGGGAGCCGCUGCCGGCCAACCUGGCGCACCGGUUCGGGCUGGAGGACGUCGUCAGCGACCCCUACGUGAUGGGCUCGUUCGGCGGCCAGGACCGGCACUUCGCCAAGGAGAUCGGCGGCCACCUCCUCCAUGAUUUCGUCGGGUGA
rnacentral:rRNA from 1 species